UACGUAGGUGGCAAGCGUUGUCCGGAUUUACUGGGCGUAAAGCGUAUGCAGGCGGAUUGUUAAGUAGGAAGUGAAAGGUUGGAGCUCAACUCUAACACUGCUCCCUAUACUGGCAGUCUUGAGUGGCGGAGAGGAAGACGGAACGACACGUGUAGCGGUGAAAUGCGUUGAUAUGUGUCGGAACACCAAUGGCGAAAGCAGUCUUCUGGACGCAAACUGACGCUGAGAUACGAAAGCCAAGGUAG
rnacentral:rRNA from 1 species